CCUACGGGUGGCAGCAGUGGGGAAUAUUGGGCAAUGGGCGCAAGCCUGACCCAGCCAUGCCGCGUGAGUGAUGAAGGCCUUCGGGUCGUAAAGCUCUGUGGGGAGGGAAGAACGUCCGGGCGGUUAAUACCCGCUCGGGGUGACGGUACCUCCUUAGCAAGCACCGGCUAACUCCGUGCCAGCAGCCGCGGUAAUACGGAGGGUGCAAACGUUGCUCGGAAUCAUUGGGCGUAAAGCGCACGUAGGCGGCGCGAAAAGUCAGGUGUGAAAGCCCU
rnacentral:rRNA from 1 species